GCCCGCGAGGGAGCCCUAGCACAGGUGCUGCAUGGCCGUCGUCAGCUCGUGCCGUGAGGUGUUGGGUUAAGUCCCGCAACGAGCGCAACCCCCGCCGUUAGUUGCCAGCGGUUCGGCCGGGCACUCUAACGGGACUGCCCGCGAAAGCGGGAGGAAGGAGGGGACGACGUCUGGUCAGCAUGGCCCUUACGGCCUGGGCGACACACGUGCUACAAUGCCCACUACAAAGCGAUGCCACCCGGCAACGGGGAGCUAAUCGCAAAAAGGUGGGCCCAGUUCGGAUUGGGGUCUGCAACCCGACCCCAUGAAGCCGGAAUCGCUAGUAAUCGCGGAUCAGCCAUGCCGCGGUGAAUACGUUCCCGGGCCUU
rnacentral:rRNA from 1 species